rnacentral:rRNA from 1 species
GCGUUGUUCAGUACAAAUAAUAUGCUGUCUAUUCAGUACAAAUAAUAUGAGGACUAAAGGUUCUUAACAAUAAAGGACAAAAAGACCCUUUGAAGCUUUAAAUUAGGGAUAAAACCGGGGUAACGAUUCUCUAAUACGAAGAUAUUGCUUAUUGCAUACCUAGUCUAAUAGUACGUACAAUUAA